GACGAACGCUGGCGGCGUGCCUAACACAUGCAAGUCGAACGAAGCAUAGCAAUAUGCUUAGUGGCGGACGGGUGAGUAACGCGUGAACAAUCUGCCCUGUACAAAGGAAUAGCCUCGGGAAACCGGGAUUAAAACCGUAUGACACUUUAGUAUCGCAUGAUAAGAAAGUCAAAUCGAAUAGAGGUAUGGGAUGAGUUCGCGUCUGAUUAGCUGGUUGGCGGGGUAACGGCCCACCAAGGCGACGAUCAGUAGCCGGCCUGAGAGGGUGAACGGCCACACUGGAACUGAGACACGGUCCAGACUCCUACGGGAGGCAGCAGUGGGGAAUAUUGCACAAUGGAGGGAACUCUGAUGCAGCGACGCCGCGUGAGUGAAGAAGGUCUUCGGAUCGUAAAACUCUGUCCUUGGUGAAGAAAAGGACGGUAGCCAAGGAGGAAGCCCCGGCUAACUACGUG
rnacentral:rRNA from 1 species